ensembl:lncRNA
GCCCCAACACGGGAGCCCAUGUCCAGUGAGAGCCGAGGCGGAGCAGUGGAGGGUCAAAGGGCCCCAAGAAGGAAUGCGUUUGAGGAGCGACCGUAUGAGCCAGAACAGUACUACCAGGAAAACUUCGGCCCCAAGGCCGACCUAUUCUCAAACUUUAAAUGGGUUCCAAGCGAGCUGAGCCGAUGCUAAAAGGUGACGUCGCCUGGAAACUACCUGUACAAUCAAUAUCCUAUGCUGAGUAAAUCUUUCAAGGUGGAGAGUCUGUACUGUCAUGCAGUUUUCUUCGGUUUGAACAAAUCAUAAGUGUUAUUUGUAGUUGACCUUGAUCUAACUACUGUAGCUGUAUUACUUAGGCUGAAUCACUAACAAAGUGUAAAUCAUUUCAAACAUAUUUCAGCAGACACUUGUUAACUCUCUGGGAAGGAAGGCCACACCACAACCAAUCUCGAAUACGACCUCAGAUCAGACGAGACAACCCGCUGAACUUAAGCAUAUCAGUAAGCGGAGGAAAAGAAAUGCUGGAAAAGGGAACCCUGGUGUCCUGGUUACGGGGGACGAUGGUAACAAAUUUGAUUCAGGGGUCUAGGGUGACUUAACUCAAUGUUUAAUUGAAUUGUCUGUUAAGAAUGAGUACUUUGUCAAAUGUAAUUAUAAUUUGUAACCUCAAACUCUUUUUAUUAAGUUGAUGGAAAAGUGCCCUUAUGCAUCAUGUUUCCCAUCUUCUCUCAGAGCUCUGAAUAUCUAUAUGACUGCAAAACCUGUUAUUACUGAUGUACACCGUCCUUUACUUGAAUUUUUGUGUACUCUUUCUAUAUAUUGUUACAACCCCUCCCUUUCGGCAGCUAAUUACUUCCUGCAGGAGUUGGCUGAAAGGGAGGGUCGUUAGGGCAAGUUGCUCACACCUGGCUAGGCCUCUACCCAAGGUGAUAUAAGCCAGCCUGGUCUCAUUGUCUCUCUCUCUCCUAGGCUCCACGCUGCUACAGUUUGUUGGUUCUUGGUUCUUUUUGAUGGCUUCCUUUUACACUCAACAGCAGCACACACAUCUCACUCAUCCAUGCACUACAAUCACCACUGAUGCCACUACUCUCCACACCUCAUGCUAUUGGUAAAUAUGAUUGUUUAAGUUAUAAUAAAAC